GACAGAGGGUGCAAACGUUGUUCGGAAUUACUGGGCGUAAAGCGCACGUAGGCGGAUUGUUAAGUUAGGGGUGAAAUCCCAGGGCUCAACCCUGGAACUGCCUCUAAUACUGGCAAUCUUGAGUUCGAGAGAGGUGAGUGGAAUUCCGAGUGUAGAGGUGAAAUUCGUAGAUAUUCGGAGGAACACCAGUGGCGAAGGCGGCUCACUGGCUCGAUACUGACGCUGAGGUGCGAAAGCGUGGGGAGCAAACAGG
rnacentral:misc_RNA from 1 species